GGGUCCGGACACACUGAGGAUUGACAGAUAUACGUCGUGCGUUGAGCUCUCUCGGGGGCCGAGCGCAUGACUGAAAGAUGCUAGUUCUUUCAUGAUUAUGUGAUAGGUGGUGCAUGGCCGUUCUUAGUUCGUGGAGUGAUCUGUCUGCUUAAUUGCGUAUCAUAAAAAGAGACCUAGUAUACGCGUAAGAUAUCGUUUACGGUUCGUGACCCCCUUCGGGCGUGUGUCGCACGUACGUAUCAUACGCACUGGUCUCCGAUAGCAACGAACGUGACCGUACUCUAUUGUUGCAGCGAAUGUAUGCAUCUUCGGGUGUAUCUACCGCUGCUUAGUGCGUAUGCGUACUUCGGUGCGUGUCGUACAUUAAACUAUAGAGACCGCUGUAUUUUUUUUAAACCAGAGGAAGGAUACGGCAAUAACAGGUCUGUGAUGCCCUCAGAUGUUCCGGGCUGCACACGUGCUACAAUGAUCAUUGCACUGUGCAUCUAACCCAAUGUGCGUGGACGCCACGGUAUGUAUUUAUGCCUCGGCGUAGUAUAUAUCAGUUGGUCGGCCGCGCCGAACCUACUUCGAAAGUAAAAUUUCUCAGUGGGU
rnacentral:rRNA from 1 species